rnacentral:misc_RNA from 1 species
UAUUUAGAGGGGAAAAAAUCGAAGACCAAAAAGUGCAAGACAUUUUACACAAGGAGACGAGCUAAUACUGAUGAUACAACAUGCAGAGAUCCUGUCACCACGAGAACACAUGGGUGGUUCUCUGUUUUUCCUUUGAGAAACUCAUUUGCAACUCUCAAGGAAACCCCUAAUGAUUUCUCAGCUGCUAAUAUGAUUCUGCCAUCUAGUUUCCUUGCAGGAUAGACAAAUCGAUUCUUGAAUAGUUCUUGGUACUCUGCCGUUCCAUCAUGAAGGGUAUUGAUGCCCAAUUCUUCAGAAGCUUGUACCCAGUGGUCUCUCAACAAGGACGCCGUAGUUGUUCGGGAUUUCCCUCCAGCAAUGUCAGCUUCUGUUAGGAAGACAGCCUCUAAUUGUUCAUCUAACAGAAAUUCUCUUGCAAAAGCCCGAUGGUCUUUGUCACUAGCCAUUGCAACCACAAGCACCAAUCGUGCCUCUGGAAAUGCCAUCCGUAUUGUGUCAACCAAAGCUUUUGCAGAUUCUUUAGUGUGAGCUC